rnacentral:rRNA from 1 species
ACAGGGAGGUAGUGACAAGAAAUAACAAUACAGGGCCUAACGGUCUUGUAAUUGGAAUGAGUGAAGUAUAAACCCCUUUACGAGUAUCAAUUGGAGGGCAAGUCUGGUGCCAGCAGCCGCGGUAAUUCCAGCUCCAAUAGCGUAUAUUAAAGUUGUUGCAGUUAAAAAGCUCGUAGUUGGAUUUCUGUUGUAUAAUCUAUAAUAUUACUAAGGUAUAUAUUAUAUUAUCAACAUCCUUCCUAUUAUAUUUCUAAAUAUAUAGGAAACUUUACUUUGAGAAAAUUAGAGUGCUUAAAGCAGGCAACUGCCUUGAAUACUCCAGCAUGGAAUAAUAAGUAAGGACUUUUGUCUUUCUUAUUGGUUCUAGGACAAAAGUAAUGGUUAAUAGGGACAGUUGGGGGCAUUCGUAUUUAACAGCCAGAGGUGAAAUUCUUAGAUUUGUUAAAGACGAACUACUGCGAAAGCAUUUGCCAAGGAUGUUUUCAUUAAUCAAGAACGAAAGUUAGGGGAUCGAAGACGAUCAGAUACCGUCGUAGUCUUAACCAUAAACUAUGCCGACUAGAGAUUGGAGGUUGUUCCUUACUCCUU